rnacentral:rRNA from 1 species
GACGAACGCUGGCGGCGUGCUUAACACAUGCAAGUCGAACGGAAAGGCCCUGCUUGCCGGGUACUCGAGUGGCGAACGGGUGAGUAACACGUGGGUGAUCUGCCCUGCACUUCGGGAUAAGCCUGGGAAACUGGUCUAAUACCGGAUAGGAGCCAUUUUUAGUGUGAUGGUUGGAAAGUUUUUUCGGUGUAGGAUGAGCUCGCGGCCUAUCAGCUUGUUGGUGGGGUAAUGGCCUACCAAGGCGGCGACGGGUAGCCGGCCUGAGAGGGUGGACGGCCACAUUGGGACUGAGAUACGGCCCAGACUCCUACGGGAGGCAGCAGUGGGGAAUAUUGCACAAUGGGCGCAAGCCUGAUGCAGCGACGCCGCGUGGGGGAGGACGGCCUUCGGGUUGUAAACUCCUUUCGCUAGGGACGAAGCUUUUUGUGACGGUACCUAGAGAAGAAGCACCGGCUAACUACGUG